UACGGAGGAGGCAAGCGUUAUCCGGAAUUAUUGGGCGUAAAGCGCGCGCAGGCGGCCGUUUAAGUCUGGUGUUUAAGCCCGGGGCUCAACCCCGGUUCGCACUGGAAACUGCGAGGCUAGAGUACUGGAGAGGUUGGUGGAAUUCUCGGUGUAGAGGUGAAAUUCGUAGAUAUCGAGAGGAACACCGGUGGCGAAGGCGGCCAACUGGACAGAUACUGACGCUGAGACUCGAAAGCGUGGGGAGCAAACAGG
rnacentral:rRNA from 1 species